GAUGAACGCUAGCUACAGGCUUAACACAUGCAAGUCGAGGGGCAGCAUGAAGUUUGCUUGCAAACUUUGAUGGCGACCGGCGCACGGGUGAGUAACGCGUAUCCAACCUUCCCCUUACUAGGGAAUAGCCCGGCGAAAGUCGGAUUAAUGCCCUAUGUUCUCCUUUGCGGGCAUCUAACGAGGAGCAACGAUUCAUUGGUCAGGGAUGGGGAUGCGUCUGAUUAGCCAGUUGGCGGGGUAACGGCCCACCAAGGCGACGAUCAGUAGGGGUUCUGAGAGGAAGGUCCCCCACACUGGUACUGAGACACGGACCAGACUCCUACGGGAGGCAGCAGUGAGGAAUAUUGGUCAAUGGGCGCGAGCCUGAACCAGCCAAGUAGCGUGAGGGAUGACUGCCCUAUGGGUUGUAAACCUCUUUUAUAUGGGAAUAAUAGGUUCUACGUGUAGAAUUUUGCAUGUACCAUUAUGAAUAAGCAUCGGCUAACUCCGUGCCAGCAGCCGCGGUAAUAC
rnacentral:rRNA from 1 species